rnacentral:tRNA from 1 species
UGGGCGGUAGCUCAGUGGUAGGGAUCCCGCUUCGUGUGCGGGAAGACCUGGGUUCGAUUCCCGGCUGAUUAC